UUGGACUGUGAUCCGUGACAG
rnacentral:misc_RNA from 1 species